UACAAAAAGACUUUUUCCAAGAAUGCACCACCUUUGUUGAUGCUUCCUCAGACAAAGGGUGAAACUGCACAUCAUAAGACUCCUAAUUUGUGACCCUUACAUGGAAGUCUCAAUUUCCUGCCCUACCUUGAUCAAACUAGGGACUUUCAGAUUCCCAUUGAUGAAGCAUAAUGAAUGGAAUAACAAGUACAGAUGAUUGUAUGAAACUUAAAGGAUCUUGGCUGCCUAUAGGAGGCCAUUAGGACAUCAUCACGGGUUCUGCUAAGUCAUCUCACAAUCACAGUUUUGUGCAAUCACCUCUCAUCUCAGCCUCUCUAGGCAUAUGCCAUGCGGGGAAACUAGCAGUCACAAAAUACAGCACCUCCAGGCAUAUUAUUUGCUAUUUUGGUCCAGGAGUGUGACAGAUAAUGGCUACUGUCUGAAGGUCUCAUUGGCUGCAAUGACUGGCAUCAUACGCAGAACAUGUGGAAAAGCCAGAAUGGGUGAUCACAUCCAUACUUAAUAACAACAAAAGGAGCAGUUUUGUAUCUUCACUGCAGCUAAAAGCACUAAAAAGGAGGACU